CUUUGGAGAGUUAGACAAAAUCUUAUUUUGUAUUGAUUUUUUCCCCCCUGCAUAGAGAUUCAUUAAAGAGUGUAUUUGAAGGAUGAGUAUAUAUGCGUGUAUUUUAGGGGUUGAAGUAAUAACACAGAGACCAUAUUUUGCAAACUUGUUCACCUCUGAAGACAUUUUGUUUUAGUAAUGGAUGAUCUCUUCAUUUGUAUUAACUGGGUAUGCUAAAAUUUUUUGAGGUGAUCCAUGUAACUGCAUACUGACAGAAAGUUUCUCUUUUCUGCUUUUCAGCUAUUCGAGUACACUGCACCCAGUUUUGGUUCUGUGCCAGGAUUAAACCUACGAUAUUUCACAAUGUGUAUAUGAAUUCCGAUGAAGUGUUUCUAGGAGAUGGCUGCCCUGUAACCCAUUCUUUGCCAGAUGUCUACUAUGAGUUUUUCUACCAUCCUCAUGACUGUGGUAUUGUAUCUCAACCUCUCCAGGAACUUAUUCUGCUUAGAACUAAAAUCAAGUAUAUCUCAAGAGAUUCUACUGUCCGAUCUGAAAUGCCUCUGUCGUGUGUUGUCCGCAAUCAGAAUCCUCUUUUAAAUGCAGUUGAAAUGAGAGAUGAGGAAAAUGUUACUGAAUGGGAGAUAGAUGUGAGGAUACACAUUGUGAAUGAAGAUGGGGCAGUAACUUCUACAACACAGUCUUGUAAGAAUCUGACUGCGAUAUGCCCUUGUUCAUCAAAUGAGUGCCUUUAUUGCAAGAGAAGAAACAGUGCUGUCCACUUUGGUAUUGAGAGGCAAUUUGAAAUCUCUGCCAUGACUGCUUAGGACUGAGGAUUUACUGUGCUAUUUUGUGAAAAUCUGAGAAGCAGGAAGGGGAUUUAAUGAUCUCAGCCAUUAUCCAUCUGAAAAACCUAACUUGAGAUUUUAAAUAAAAUGGCAGGCUGCCUUCUACUAUUAAUAGGAGCUGCCUCUGCUUUUAACCUCAUGAAGUUUUAUUUAUGAAUAAAGUUUGUACUAUUAUAUAUCUGUUUCUAAUUAUUGCAAGACUGACUUGUAUAUAAUUGUAAGCUUCAAUGCUCCUUAGAAAUAGGUUUUUAAGGGUACAGUUACUAACUUUUCUCAGUUGCUGAUUCAUGCCUUUAGCUAAGGCUUAUCUGUGGUUGGUCCUGGUAACAGUGCCUAAUCAUUUAUUUAUUCCACAAAGAUGCCCUCAUGGAGUUCACAUUUUAGUAGGAGGAGGCGGAGUAUGCACAGAAAACAUACUUUAUAGUAUUCUAAGAAAGAGUAAACAGAGGCAGAGAAAGAAGAUAGGCAAUAUUGGGAUGAGAGUUGUGGUCCUAACUAUGGCAUCAGUGAAGGCAUCCCUCGAAGGUGAUGAUCAAGGAAAGAGCUGGAGGAGGUGAGGGAAUGAGCCCUGCAGAUCCUGGAGGAAAGGUCAUUCAAAACUGUGGGAACAGCUGGUGUAAAGUUGCUGAGUGUUUGCUAAACAAGGCCAGCAAGAUUGGAGAGGGGAAGUCAUACAGAUGAAGUCUUAAAACAACCCGAACACCUAAAACAAUGAGUGGAGGACAUCAUCUAAUUUCUCAAAGUUGAUGGACACGCUUUAGUUUGAAAUAAGAUGAGAACCCCCUGGAAAGUUCCAAAUGGAGGAGUGAUGUGAUCUGACUUGGAUUUUUAUUAUCAGGAUCACCCUGGCUGCUGGAUGGAGAAUGGACACCAAGAGGGAGCGAAGACUGAAGUAGGGAGAGGGAUGAGGUAGCGAUGAUGACAAGGCCAGCGGUUCUCUUCCAGGGGCAACUUUACCCUGUGAGGGCUGUAUCUGAAAGCAGCUUUGUUCAUCACAGUGAUGGUGUUAGUGUGUUACUGGCAUCUGUA
ensembl:lincRNA